rnacentral:rRNA from 1 species
UGCAGUCGAGCGAGAUUUUUUCCUGUAGCAAUACAGGGAAACGUCUAGCGGCGAACGGGUGCUUAACACGUGGGCAAUCUGCCGAGAAGUGGGGGAUAGCUCGCCGAAAGGCGAAUUAAUACCGCAUGUGAUCAGAGUGGACAUCCAUUCAAAAUCAAAGUCGGGGCAACCUGACGCUUCUUGAGGAGCCCGCGGCCUAUCAGCUAGUUGGUGAGGUAACGGCCCACCAAGGCUUUGACGGGUAGCUGGUCUGAGAGGACGACCAGCCACACUGGGACUGAGACACGGCCCAGACACCUACGGGUGGCAGCAGUCGAGAAUUUUUCUCAAUGGGGGAAACCCUGAAGGAGCGACGCCGCGUGGAGGAUGAAGGUCUUCGGGUUGUAAACUCCUGUCAUUUGGGAACAAGGCGCAAAUAUUAACUGUAUUUGCGUUGAUAGUACCAGAAGAGGAAGAGACGGCUAACUCUGUGCCAGCAGCCGCGGUAAUACAGAGGUCUCAAGCGUUGUUCGGAUUCAUUGGGCGUAAAGGGUGCGUAGGCGGCGCGGUAAGUCGGGUGUGAAAUCUUGGAGCUUAACUCCGAAACUGCAUUCGAUACUGCCGUGCUUGAGGACUGGAGAGGAGACUGGAAUUUACGGUGUAGCGGUGAAAUGCGUAGAUAUCGUAAGGAAGACCAGUGGCGAAGGCGGGUCUCUGGACAGUUCCUGACGCUGAGGCACGAAGGCCAGGGGGAGCAAACGGGGAUUAGAUACCCCGGUAGUCCUGGCAGUAAACGGUGCACGUUUGGUGUGGGAGGAUUC